rnacentral:lncRNA from 1 species
AAAUGGAAACUGAACAGCUAGAGAAAACCUUCCCUAGCACUGAAACCAGUGGUGAAUUUGGUAAAUGCCUUGCAGAAUAUAUGGAAGAAGAACAAGCAUUUAAAAGAUCUAGAAACACUGAUGGUUGAAUUAUGCGUUGUGUUUCAGAGCAAGAAUGCUUGGACAGUGAUUGGAAAAGGAGAUAAGAAUAUUAAGGCUUUCUGUAUAGACUACAGAGCCAGGGUUCUAGCCCCAGAGGGCAAUGGCCCCAAGUGCAUGCUGAGUAUCAGUGCUGAUAUUGAAACAGUUGGAGAAACUCUGAAGAAAAUCAUCCCUACCUUGGAAGAGUACCACCAUUAUAAAGGAAGCAACUUUGAUUGCGAAUUGAGGCUGUUGACUCAUCAGAGUCUGGCAGGAGGAAUUAUUGAGGUCAAAGAUGCUAAAAUCAAAGAGCUUCAAGGGAACACUCAAACAACAAUCAAGCUUUUCCGGGAAUGCUGUCCUCAUUCCACUGACGGAGUUGUUCUUACUGGAGAAAGACUAUGGAGUUGUAGAGUGCAUAAAAUUAUCCUUGAUCUUAUAUCUGAGUCUCCUACAGAGGAUGUGCACAGACUUAUAAUCCCAAUUUUCAUGAUGUAACCUAUUACAUUACAUGAUGUAACACCAUUAUAUUAUGGUGGUUUUACAAUGUUGUCUGAUGACCACCAUGGAUGCCUGGUGGGGUUUCCCAGGCAGGGAAGAGGUGGUUUUGACAGAAUGUCUACCAGUCAGGGUGGGUGUUCCAUGUGGCCAUCUGGAAGAGAUUAUGAUGACAUGAGUCCUUGUUGAGGACCACCUCCUCCUUCUUUUGGACAAGGUGCCUGGGGUGGUAGCAAAGCUGAGAAUCUUCCUCUUUCUCCACUACCACUACAGAGGGUAGGAGACAUAAGGGCCUAUGACAGAAGAGGAAGACCUGGAGAUGGUUACAUGGCAUGGCUGGCUUCAGUGCUGAUGAAACUUGGGACUCUGCAAUAGAUACAUGGAGUGCAUCAGAAUGGCUGAUGGCUUAUGAACCACAGAGUGGCUCCAGAUAUAAUUAUUCCUAUGCAGCGGACAGUGGCUCAUAUGGUGGACCUAUUAUUACUACACAAGGAACUAUUCCCAAAUAUUUGGUUGGAUCUAUUAUUGGCAAAGGUGGUCAGUGAAUCAAACAAAUCCAUCAUGAGUUGGAGCUUCAACUAAAGUUGAUGAGCCUUUAGAAGGAGGUGAAGAUCAGAUCAUUAUCAUUAUAGGAACAUAGGACCAGAUAUAGAAUGCACAGUAUUUGCUGCAGAACAGUAUGAAGCAGUUUUCCGGAAAGUUU